rnacentral:rRNA from 1 species
UACGUAGGGUCCGAGCGUUGUCCGGAAUUACUGGGCGUAAAGAGCUCGUAGGUGGUUUGUCGCGUUGUUCGUGAAAACUCACAGCUCAACUGUGGGCGUGCGGGCGAUACGGGCAGACUGGAGUACUGCAGGGGAGACUGGAAUUCCUGGUGUAGCGGUGAAAUGCGCAGAUAUCAGGAGGAACACCGGUGGCGAAGGCGGGUCUCUGGGCCGACACUGACGCUGAGGAGCGAAAGCCAGGGAGCAAACGGG